rnacentral:rRNA from 1 species
UUGUCUUCUGUUGCCAUCGGGUUAUGCCGGGCACUCUGAAGAGACUGCCGGUGACAAACCGGAGGAAGGUGGGGAUGACGUCAAGUCAGCAUGGCCUUUAUGUCUGGGGCCACACACGUGCUACAAUGGCCGGUACAAACCGUUGCGAUCCCGCGAGGGGGAGCUAAUCGGAGAAAGCCGGUCUCAGUUCGGAUUGUAGGCUGCAACUCGCCUGCAUGAAGUUGGAAUCGCUAGUAAUCGCGGAUCAGCACGCCGCGGUGAAUACGUUCCCGGGCCUU